GCUCUAUGACUUCCUGUCUUACCAUGUGAUCUCUUCCUCUCCCACAAGCUCCCACUGUCAUGUCAUCUGCCAUGAUAUGACUCAGCCAAGGGGUACCCAACCAGAGGCUGAGCUAGGAGAGCUGCCCCAUCUUAGACUUUCAGCCUCCACAACAAAAUGAGCUAAGUGGAUCUUUUUUCUUUAAAAGUACCCAGCCUAAGGUAUUUUGUUAUAGCAACUAAAGAUGGGCAAAUAUAGAUAGAGUACUUGAUUAAGGCAUUGAGCCUUUUACAAUUGAAGCAAGACAUUCUUAUUGAUGAGAUAGUGAAUUCAGGAGACUUAAUAUGGUUCCUAUGAGACUGCAGAGUUUGACAGUCAUAGAAAAACAAAAGGAAUGAUUCACGCAGAUUUUAUGAGUAGCAAUGAGACAGAAGUUCCGCUUCUCUGUUUCUUAGGUAUACUUUUUAGAAGGUAGCAUUUUAAGUUUUUUGAAGUAGGAAGUAAUUAUUUUUAAUUUCUUAAAGAUGAUUUUUCUGGGGGCAUGAAACUCGUGGCCCCACUGUAUUCCUAUAAAUCAUUUUUCAUUUCCUCUAAUUCCCUUUCCAGACAUCUGCUGGCUUAUUAUUCUGGGCACAGAAAAUUAUGAUCAGUUUAGUGACUGCUUAAUACAGACUCAGAUUCAUCUGUCAAAGAAUAGCAAAGAUCAAAGAUUUUUCCAAGGCAGGCAGCAAGUAGAUCAAAGGAAACCUUCGCUCCUCAUCCUUUGAGAGCCUUGUGCAUGGGAUCAAGGAGAUAAUAUUGUCAGAUGUGUGGCAAAUGCUGUGGAUGCUGAGGCUGGUGAAUACAGGCCAGGUCCCUGCCCUCAUGUAGACUGCUGGAAAGACAGCCGUGUAAGCAACAACCUCCAGCUGCAGCGAGCAAGCGUCACCACCAAGGACGUGGAUACAGAGUGAGAGACACCUAAAGGGACUCUUCACCUGGCCCAGCCAUACGAGGUCUUCUCCUCGGUGAACAAACCCCGGGGACAAGCCAAAGUUAACCAUGAAGUACAGCUGGGGAGCAACAAGCAUUAAGGCCCUAAGGGAGAGUAUGGUUCCCAGCAGGAAGUGAGUGGCUGUCACAAAGUAGGACUGGCUGGGAUGUGAGGCCUGAGAGGGAAGCAGCAGGCGGAUCACAUGAGGCCUUGUGAGCCAUGUUGAGUUUGUCUAGGAAGAAAGAGAAACCUUGGGAAUCUUUUAGGUA